rnacentral:rRNA from 1 species
GACGAACGCUGGCGGCGUGCUUAACACAUGCAAGUCGAACAGGGUGGCGAACGGGUGAGUCACACGUGGGUGAUCUGCCUUGCUCUUCGGGAUAAUCUUGGGACACUGGGUCUAAUACCGGAUAGUGCAAGAUGAGCUUGCUGCCUAGCGGCUUGUUGGUGGGGUAAUGGCCUACCAAGGCGUCGACGGGUAGCCGGCCUGGGAGGUUGUACGGACACAGUGGGACUGAGAUGCGGCCCAGACGCCGACGGGAGGCAGCAGUGGGGAAUAGUGCACAAGGGGCGGAAGCAGGAUGCAGCGACGAAGAGUGGGGGAUGAAGGCGUUCGGGUGGUAAACUCCUUUCGACAGGGAGGCGGUACCUGUAUAAGAAGCACCGGCUAACUACGUGCCAGCCGCCGCGGUAAGAC